CGCCAAAUAACUACGAGUAAAAACUUAAAAUUUAAAAGACUUGACGGUACCUCACAACAACCUAGAGGAGCCUGUCUAAUAACCGAUACCCCACGAUCAACCCAACCCUCCCUAGCCCAACAGUCUAUAUACCGCCGUCGCCAGCCUACCUUAUGAAAGAAACAAAGUAAGCCAAAUAGCCACACACUAACACGACAGGUCGAGGUGUAACUUAUGGGAGGGGCCAAGAUGGGCUACAUUUUCUAAUACAGAAAAUACGAAUUAAACCAUGAAAUAAGAAACUGAAGGCGGAUUUAGCAGUAUACUAAGAACAAGAUGCCUAGUCGAAACCAGCGCAAUGAGGUGCGUACACACCGCCCGUCAUCCCUGUCACUAACCAAAAAAAUUCAUAAACAAAUAACAAACAUUAAAACAGGGCAAGUCGUAACAAGGUAAGUGUACA
rnacentral:rRNA from 1 species